UUUUGUUUUGGCUUCUCUAUAGUGAAUUCUCAGUUUUGCCCAUGCUGGCCACGCGUCCAUCUGCUUCCAUACGAUGUCGACGCGUUGGUCUUCUGGAGCCUUCCAUCCUUUUCGAUCCAUGUCUCAUAAACGCUUUUCUUCCUCUCAAUCCUCACGUUUUCUGGCUCACUGAUCUUGGGUUCUCUCUCUCUCUCUCUCUCUCUCUCUCUCUCUCUCUCUCUCUCUCUCUCUCUCUCUCACUUGCUUGCUAAGAAAGACGAACCAGUCAAAAUUUGUGCAGAUAUUUUUCUGAAAAAAUAGAUAUGAUAUGCUGUUCUUCCUUCCUUCCUCCUCCCCAUCCGUUGGACAACAUCUCCUCCAUUUCGACCUCUCCCUUGGAAACCCAUCGGAGACCUCUUCAAGUUUCUUUGUCAUAAUCUUUGGAGAAAGAAAUUUGAUUUUCUUUUUAUUUUUUAAGUUUUUGGUUUGUGGGUUUUUAAUUUUUUAUUUUUUGUGCAGGUAAAGAGGUUUCUUUGUCAGAACCUCUGGAGAAAGAAAUUUGAUUUUGUUUUUAAUUUUUUUAUUUUAAGUUUUUGGUUUGUGAGUUUUUAAUUUUUUGGAGAACCUUGCAUUUUGUGAGGUUUUUUUUUUCAGAUUUUUAUCUUGGUUUAAAAAAAAAAAAAUUCUUCCGUUAUAUUUAAAAAUAUUUAAGCUUGGUUUGAUUACGAUUGUGCCUAAACAAACCUUUGGUUGCUUAACUUGGGACAAAAUAAUGUGUCGAUUAACAACUUCCGCUCCGCAAGCCAGCAGUCGCUCUUGCAUGCUUAAUCUUACAAAUUUGACAAUAUUAUCUUUUGAGAGAGUCCAUUAGUUGCUCUGCUGCUGCUUUCCUUUACGAAUCUGUCCAUUUUCUAUUUUUGUGGUUAAAUUUUUGUAUAAUGUUAUUGUGUGAGAUUAUGGUUAUCUUAUCAUUUGUUUAGGUUAUGAUUUUUAGGCUCAUCAUUUCUGUGUUUCAGCUACGAACAUUUCUGAUAUUGACUAAGGUAUUAAUCUCUUUGUCUCAAAAUUUUGAAAUCCUAUUAGUUUAGCGAACUUUAUAUAUUAUUGGGCAAUAUGGUUAUGCUUUCGUUGUGUCUGAGAGACAGAGCACUGAUCCAGUUUGUGAUCAAUUGCAUUUAGGGGUUUUGAUUUGGUCAUGAUGUUGCAGAUUGAGACAAGUUUUGGGAAAGAAAACACAUUUAAUUAAGUUUGGAGUUGAUUUUGUUUGAGUUUAGAGGGGAAGUUCUCUAGCCGAUUUGGGGUGGGUAAUUUUGUGUUUACAACUAUGAAUUCUGUGCAAAUUUCAUUUUUUUGAUUUUGGGGAUUUUAUUUCCAGGCUAGAAUGCCGUCGUUUUCUAAAGCCCUCUGUACUCAAGCGAAGUUCCAUUGCGUUCUCGGAUGAGUUGGUUUGUUCUAAGAUUCGGAUAAAAAAUUAUUCCCAUUUGGGUAUAUAUACAUUCAACUCCAAACAUUAUAUAACCGAAGAGAGUGAAAACUGCACUGUUCACAAAGGCAAAACAAGGGAUAGCUUCUACAUAUGGGAAUAAGAGUGGUUGAAGUCGCUAGCUUUAUAAUGCUGGUGACCGAAAUAAAACCCGAGUUCAUGUUAAAAUGAUAUCAUAAUUUUCAUUAUGGUGAGAAUUGAGAACUUAGACCCAUUUUUUAUCUUUCCAAUUUUUUAAUUUUAGAAAUUGAAUUACUUUUCUUUACCUUUUUUGUGAUCAUGCACUGAGAAUUUGUUAAUUGUAUUAAUAUUAUGAGGUAGGUUUAUACUUUCUAA